CCCAUCCACCCAGUUUGUGUGCCCCUCCCCCUGAUAGGGUUAGACAGCUCAGUAAUUUAGGGAUCACUAGCAAGAAAGGUGCAGAGGUCUGAAGUCAGGGAGGGGCUGGGAGGGGAAUUUCACCCCUGCACUAUGGAGAAACUCCCUUGUUCUACAGCCCACCUCUUCCCACCAUCUGUGCACCAGCCCCCUGUGGGCCUGAUACCACUGGGAAGGUGGAAGUAGACAUGAAUUCCAAGCCUCUUCUUCCCAUCUGUGAGCCGGCACGCCCUCAGGCCUCGCCUACACCAUCCCACAUGGGAUCCCUUCUCUGCACUAUGCUCUGAAGAUUAGCUUGCUCAGGAUCACAGACUCCCAGAACGAUUUCCUCCCAAGCUGCGCUCCAGGCCACAGGGAACUGACUGAAGAGUUCAAAGGAAAACUCCCAGCUCAGAGGGUGGCCUCCAUUAGGGAGGCUCUCAGCCCGGGAGCUGGGGCUCUAGGGAUUAGGCCAUGGAUCCAGGUACCUUGGGUAAUGCUCAACUGUCCUUCUCCCAAGGGCCAGAAAGCGCUGUGGGGAGAUCCCGGGGCUCUGCUGUUCCCCACAGACCCCUCCUCCUCACCACAGAACCCCCCUGGCAUGACUACAUAUACCUCUCUAUAAAUACACACAUCUUUAGCUAUAUACAUGCA